UGGUAAUCUGGGAAACCGGGAACCAGCAACGCCGCGUGCACGAUGAAGGCCUUCGGGUCGUAAAGUGCUUUUUGAAGGGAUGAGGAAGGACAGUACCUUCAGAAUAAGCCUCGGCUAACUACGUGCCAGCAGCCGCGGUAAAACGUAGGAGGCGAGCGUUAUCCGGAUUUACUGGGCGUAAAGCGUGUGUAGGCGGUUUGAUAAGUUGGAUGUGAAAGCUCCCGGCUCAACUGGGAGAGGUCGUUCAAAACUAUCAGACUAGAGGGUGGUAGAGGGAGGUGGAAUUCCGCGUGUAGUGGUGAAAUGCGUAGAUAUGCGGAGGAACACCAGUGGCGAA
rnacentral:rRNA from 1 species